UCUACAUCUGCCUCUUUCACGCCAACUACCUGCAUGUCUUCACUCACCACAUUGAUUGCUUUAUUUAUUUAUUUAUUUAUUUAUUGCGACUUUUUAAUUCAUUGAUUAAUAAAUCAAUUAAUCAGUGGCGAUGACGUCGUUGUAUGGAGAUCCCAAGGUCCAUUGCGAUUUUCCACUCGGAACGAGUCCAGUAUCUGCAGCAGCUUUCAUGGUGGCAGCAGACCAGGUGGUGAUAAUGGAAAAUUUGAAAAGCUUCACUGAUGCAUUGGUUAGCAUGUUCAUCUGCUACUACAUUUUCAACAUGCACUACCCAGUGGAACUUGGGUCCACACUGGAGUUCCUUCAAAGGUGCAUAUUUAAGAUCAAUCCUGAAAAGGGCUCCAAAACUGAGCGUCUGGAAUAGAAAAAGUGCAAUGCAGUGAACCCGAAGGUCCUGACCCUUUUAACCCGGAUUUCUGAGUUUAAAUGGAGGUUUUAGUUGAUGACAAUUUGUUUGGAUACGGUACUAUCCAAACUACUGGCCUGGCAUGUCAGCAGACAUAGAGAAAUGGGUAUCACAGUGUACAGUGUGCCAGAAUCAUAAGAAAGAUAUAAAGCUGAAAACAGACCGCAAACUGAUCAAGGUCAAGACUCCAUUCGAACUGGUUGGAAUGGACUUAAUUGGAAAGUUGGCCGAAUCUGACCAGGAAAAUCAGUAUAUAUGUGAUAAUAGAUUAUUGCACGAGAUGGGCACAGGCAUAUCCCCUUAAAUCAAAGUCUGCUGCAGAAGUUACACAAUCCAUAUAAAAAUUUGUUUAGCAACUUGAAGUGCUGAAACGAAUUUUGACAGAUCUAGGCAGAGAGUUUGUCAACACAAUCAACACUGAGGUCUGCAAAAUGCUUGGCAUAAAAAUAAGUCUUUGUGCCCCAUACCACCCUCAGACCAACGGAUUGGUGGAGAGGCUCAAUGGCACUUUACGGAGGUGACAAAUAAGUGGGCUUAUAAUGAUACUGAUGAAGUAGAUUCUGUUAAAGACCAGUGUGCAAACAGAUGAUGAUGUUCUAAAGCUUAGAAGAACCAAAAGCAUUUUGGUAUGACCCUUCACACUAUUAAUAUCAAUAAUUAGUUGAAAGACUGAAGUAACUCACUAUUUGCAGAAAGAAUUAUUUCUUUGAUAAGUUGUACGAUACAAGUAAUAGUGGCAAUCCUGAGAACAUUUCCACUUUGAAUUCUAAAAUGGCGAAACUGUUUCCGUCCGAUUUAAAUGAGCUUUGUAGGAUCAGAUGACUCAAGUGUGGAUAGUGGAAAGGAAUAUAUUCCAAAUCCCAAGGACAAAAGCACAGACAGUGACAGCAACUUGGAAAUAGCUACGCAGACUAGAAGCAAGUCUCCCAUUAAGAGCACAGGCAAGUCUUCCGGUCAGAGCGCAAGCAAGUCUCCUGGUAAGAGCAGAAGCAAGUCUCCCAGAAAGAGCUCACACUUCAAAUUUUCCAGCCAGUUUGGGUCCAAGGAAAAUAAACAAACUGUUUUGAUAAACAAACUGUCCAAGAUGCUGAUGAUUUCAUCCAGCUUUAAAAGAAAGUUGGAAAUUUUAUAUGGCGAGCCAGGCCCUAACUCAGCUUAAUCAAGCCAAAUAGAAUGCUCCUCAACUGCUACCAUUAACACAGGAUGUUCAAAAUCUUCAUUUCCAUUUAUCUGUAAAACAGCAGCAAUACUUAAUUAUCCUAAACUUCACCCUCAAACUGGAAAGACCUCGCUAAAGUGACGCUGGCACAAGUUAUCCUUUUCAACCGUCGGAGAGAAGGAGAAGUAUCCAGAAUUUCCUUGUCUGCUUACUUAUCUAGAGACGCAUCAGAAACACAAGAAGAGGAGAACCUGGCUCUUACACCACUGGAGCAGAAGCUGUGCAAACAUUUUAGGAUAGAGAGGAAGGAAAUUUCCUCUUCUCUUCACCCCAAUCAUGAGGGAAUCGCUUGAUCUGUUGACUAAGAAGCGAGAAGAAUGUGGGGUUCUGAGGAAAAAAUAAUUUUAUUUGCAUUGCCACAUUCUCGUAGCAGCUUCAGGGGUUACAUUUGCCUCAAGGAGUUUGUGGGAGAAUGUAAAAAACUAAAAAAUCCAAGAGUUUUAACUUCUACAAAGCUCAGGAAACAUAUUGCAACCCUCUCGACCGUUCUGAAUCACAAGAACAAUGAACUCGAUCAAUUAGCAGAUUUCUUUGGGCAUAACAUUGACGUCCAUAAAGAGCACUACUAUCUUCCAGAAGGCAUGCUUCAAAUAGCGAAAAUAACUAAAGUACUUCUGGCUUUGGAAUAAGGAUAUUCUAUAAAUUACCCUUUUAGAGACUGUUGACAAGGAGGAUUCACAAGAUAUUAUUUAAGGUUUCCCUACUAAUGUAGUUAUGCAAGAAGCACAGGGAUUAGGAGAUGAGGCUACAGUGCUGCCCCUGCUAGAAGGUACCUACACUCUGCCCAAAAUCAGAGUAAAUCAAAGGUAAACAACCUAUUGCAAAACGAAGCUGGGCAACAGAGGAAUGUGCUGCAGUUAAAAGGCAUUUGAGAAGGUUCUUGGUGAUGAAUGAAGUACCAGGUAAAAAAAAGACUAUCAGGAGUGCCUUGCUGCAGAACCUGAAGCCCUUGGAAGCGGAGACUGGAAAGCGGUAAAAUAUUUUUUUAAAAACCACAUUUCUUCCCACAGGAGAACAUUUCAGUAACAAAACAAAAGUGUUACUGAUGUUCUGUUUUUUUUGUAUUUCUCACGGUUGUUCUGAAAGCUAGUGGUAUUAUGACAACGUGGAAGCAAUUAGGAACAACAGCAACUCGGCCACAAAGUGGUUGGCCAGGUUAAAUUUCAGGAUGGGGUCAGUGCAUGUUGAGGCACACUGUGUGGGGAAGUGGCCAACUUUCUGCAGAAUCGAUGACUAAAGUCCUUCAAACUUCAUGUGGCAUUGUGUUUAGAGAGAACAAUGGAAAUCCCUGAUUCAGUCUUUGAAUUAUUCAAGUUUAAAAUAUAGAAACCAUUAAUAUCUCCAGAUAUAAACUGUUGUCCUUGUUAAGCUAUAAAAACAGAUAGAAUUAGAAAUGUGUGUGUGUGUGUGUGUGUGUGUGUGUGUGUGUAUGUACUUGUUUUUAUAUCCCGGUGUGGACUUGGACCUGACUGCACACAAACCCGUUGGGACCUCAUGCGCGGUGGGGACCUGAACCUUGGGGAACUGAACCCAGGCACAUCCAUUGCAUAUGAUAGAAAUAGCCAUUUAACAAGUUUGGCAGGGUACCCCUGAAACUGCCACAGGUCCCCACGGGGUAGGUUUCACCAAACAAAAAGUGUUUGUGUGUAUAAACUGUGUUUUAGAGUGCACCCUCUAUGUUCAAUGCUGGAACUACUGUGUGUGUAUUUUUAAAGGGAUAGUUUCAUAAUUUACUCAGCCUCACGUAGUUCCAAACCUGUAUACAUUACUUUGUUCUGCUGAAAACAAAGGAAUUACUAUUACUACCCCCCUUCUUUUAAUUUUGCUCAGAUCAUUAUGAAAGGAUUAUCGACAUAUUAAAAUUAUAUGGCCUCUAAUAUACAUGCAUCAUGUGAAACUAGUUUUUAUUUAUUUAUUUAUUUUAUAAUUUUGGCAAAAUUGGUAGUUUAUAAAACGAAAAAAUAUUUUGCCCCAUUUAAUAAAUCAUUUUUUUAAUUCAGUACAUGCAUUCAAACAAAAUGUAGAAAUAGUAGUAGUAUAUAGUCAUCAUUGUGAAGAUAGUUAAUUUUAUUAAAGGAUAUAUAUUUCGUAAUUAUUAAGAUUAACAUCACGCAGCUGCGGCCACUAUUUUAGUUUGUAAAAAGUUUGGUCCGAUGUGGAGAGACUAAUUGGAGUGCAGAUGCAGGAGUCAUUUACAGCUAUUUUGAGAUGACAACGACAUGUGACGACUCAUCAUUCUAAUGGACGCAUCAUGGACAAAAAGGUAAGACUGUUUGUUUUACAACAUAAAUACCAUGGUAAACUUAAUUCUGGCUAAUUAUAGUCGUACUAGUACUAUGAGGAGGUAUAUCGUCAAGUAAACCGAUUGCUUUUAAUUAAAAGGUAAUUUAGCUGUAAGUAGCAAGGACAUAGAUUUAGGCAGGCCUAACUAACAAGCUUGUUGGUUUGCAUCUUAAAUUAAGUUUGGUAAGAAUUUGCUUGAUUAUAUAAUGUGAUUUAUAGUUUAGACAGUAAUGGACAUCGUCUUCACAUUACUACUUAAUGGACAUAGCUAGUCUAACGGCCUAUUUGAGGGCAUUAACCUAACGACACUUGUUCUGAACGUUAAUGUUACCUCAAAACAGAUGGAAAAUAAUAGAAAAACGUGUCCUGUUUAUAAUUGAAAAGUUUAACAUUGGAGAGAUAAGUUAAUGAUGGUGGUAAUCACAAGUUCAGGCCUGCACUACAGUAUCAGCACGUUAUAGGAACAAGGGCUCAUUAAUUAUUUCGUCAGUCAUCGUAUUCGUGAUCCAAAAGACAAUAAAAUCCCGUGUCGACAGAGUACAUAUUUUCACUUAAUUUGAUAGCCAUUUUCCGCAUCUUGGUGAAUGUCGCACCUGUCGUGUAAUACCGUGAGUUCAUGAGCUGGGACAACGAUGGCUUGCGGUUUGGACAUUGUGUAAAAGCAUGUGUACUGUUUGAUGUAUGUGUACAGUUAUUGAGUAUAUUACACCUUUCUAACAGACCAAAUAAACCCAACAAAAGGAUUAGCAAGGAGACCAAAGGCAGGUUUGAACGUCGCAUCACAAGACUGAGAAAGCAUCAUGAUGAAUGUGCCAGGAGACAGAAGGCUAAGGAAAGUUCAGAGGAGACACCAAGUGCCCAAUCAUGCCUCACCAGACCCCAGAUGAUCAGGUCCAAUCUCCCCUCAAGCAGGACAUCCUUGCCUUACAGUUGAUGUGCAGCAAACAAUCCUCGGAGGAUUCAAUGGAAAAUAUGGACAUUUCCUGCCUUCAGAUGCUACGAAACAGUCAUUGUCUACAAAGAAAUCAGUGGACACGGACAGUGAUGCAGAGACAGUAAUUCUUGAUUUGACCAGUUCUUCUCUAUCACCAAGGGCCUGUGAUCGCCGGAGCUAAAGAGGACAGACAGUGUAUUUCUUACCAAAAAAUCCUUAAGCAUCAUUUCCACUUCAGAUGAUACAGUUAGCAGCAUUGACAUUAGCGAAGAUGAUUACGUGCCUGAAUCUGAGAGCAGUUCUGAAGAGAGCCUUCCACAGCCUUCGUCCAGUCCCUCAUCUCCCAAUGUGACAUUAGAUGGGAAUGUUGGUACUUCCUCAUCUCAUUCAGACAAUGACUGCAGUCAAGAGGUUUCAGUGAUGAAACUGAAAAAGACUGCAAAAGGCCAAAGAAUGUUCAACAAAAAGCAGUAUUGCUUUUACUGCUUCAAACCAAUCUGCAAAAUGGCAAGACACUUGGCUCAAGUUCAUAAGAAUGAGGUGGAGGUAGCAAAGGCUCUUUCUUUUCCAAAGGGUUCUAAAGAAAGGAGGAUUAAUUUGGAUCUUUUGAGGAAUAAAGGGAACCGUGCACACAACACACAUGUUCUAAAAGCUGGCAAAGGAGUGUUGGUGCCACGGCAGCAAUUCACAGCUAAACACUUGAAUGUCAAGGACUACAUGCACUGUUUGAAUUGCGAAGGGCUGUUUAGACGAAAAGCACUUUGAAGGCAUAUGCAAAAGGUGCAACCUGGCUAAGAAGUACGAGGUCACAAAACAAGGUAGAUCCAGAGUUCAAGCACUCUGUGCUGACGCACAGCCUGUUCCUGAAGGGGUAACAAAAAAAUUAUGAAAACUGAUCAGCGACAUGACACAAGAUGAA